AAUAAUUGUAUUUACAAAAUCUAAUAGUAGUACAUCUCAUCUCCACUACUGUAAAGUCAUUGUUUGUAUCUCCCUCUUUUUCGUCUACUCAUAUCGGACCGCGGAUCUUCAUCAAAAUACAAAAUCAACACAUGUGUGGGAAAAAAAAUACACAAUCACGUUAACUCACUCACAUAUGUUUACGAGAAGUCACCGCAACAACGAGCGUAUGUUUACGAGAAGUCACCGCAACAACGUGCAUUGAAUGGCUCAUAUUUAUUCUGAAGUAUCGUAAAAGCGCUCACGAAACCGUCACAUCCAACUAAAAGAAUGGUUGCAUCAAUCUGACACCACGAUGUCAAAUCUAGAAUUUAAUCCUAGUUUGCACGGUAUAACAACGGACUUCACUAAUCAUCCAAGCAAUGCUUGAUUCAUAAUGAGAUGGUUGUUUUAAGGCUCCGGGACCUUGAGGCUGCCGCCGCCGCGGGGCGAGCUCGCGGACAGCAGCGCAUCGUCGUCGUCGUCGCGAUCGCCGUCGCCGUCGAUGCGCCGGACCUCAUCGCACCGGCUGCUGCAGUUCUUGCAGGAGCUCAAGGCCGAGGCCAUGGCCCGCGCGCGGCACUUUUCGCAGGAGCUGACCGAGCGGCUCGGCCGCAGCCACAGCCGCGAGGAAGGGCAAGGGCAUCCGCCGCCGUCGUCCGGCAUCGAGUCCGCGCUCGCCGCCCGCGCGGGCCCGCACGGUGUUCCGCGGCCUCCGGUUCAACAGCAGCAACAAGGCCAACAACGCCUGGAGGGAACUCCAGGCCAAUUUUGAUUGCCUCGCCCGCGACGGCUACCUCUCCCGCUCCGAUAUCGCGGAAUACAUAGGGAUGACAGAAUCGAAGGAGUUCGCUCUCGAGCUGUUCGACACAUUGAGCCGGCGGCGAAGGAUGAAGGUAGAAAAAAUGAAUGAAGGCAAAUAUGAAGGGGCUAAAUGCAUAAAUGCAUAAAUGGAUGGACCUGACAGUAGGUCCCACCUGUAAGGAAAAGUGUCAAACAAGCUCAACAAUCAGUUUUGGGCAAACAAAAAAGAUUAGUCUGAAUAAGUGUAGUUCUAUGAAAAAAUUAUCGAAAAAUAUGGUUCUUUGA